UACGUAGGGGGCUAGCGUUGUCCGGAAUCAUUGGGCGUAAAGCGCGUGUAGGCGGUCCGGUAAGUCCGCUGUGAAAGUCGAGGGCUCAACCCUCGAAUGCCGGUGGAUACUGUCGGGCUAGAGUGCGGAAGAGGCGAGUGGAAUUCCUGGUGUAGCGGUGAAAUGCGCAGAUAUCAGUAGGAACACCUAUUGCGAAGGCAGCUCGCUGGGACGUUACUGACGCUGAGACGCGAAAGCGUGGGGAGCAAACAGG
rnacentral:rRNA from 1 species